GCCUCAAAUCUAGCCCGUAUAAUCCGCAUGAAGCCCCUAAACUACUGCAAAAAAUAAAUCAUUUUAACAUUUUAGUAUAGGUGAUAGAAAAAUUACUAAGCGCCUCAGAUAUAGUACCGUAAGGGAAAUAUGAAAUAGAAAUGAAACAACACUACAGCCACAAACAGCAGAGAUACUACCUCGUACCUUUUGCAUCAUGGUCUAGCCAGUCCACCCAAGCAAAAUGAAAAUUUUAGUCUGACCCCCCGAAACUAAGCGAGCUACUUCAAAACAGCUUUAAGAGCCAACCCUUCUCUGUUGCAAAAGAGUGGGAAGAUUUUCAAGUAGAGGUGACAAGCCUACCGAGCUUAGAGAUAGCUGGUUGUUCAAGAAAAGAGUUUUAGCUCUGCCUUAAGCUUUUAUAUUAUGUCAAACAAACCCCCAAGCUUAAGAGUUAUUCAAAUUAGGCACAGCUUAUUUGAAACAGGAUACAACCUCCGCCACUGGGUAAAACGGGCAAUAAAAAUAAAGUGGGCCCAAAAGCAGCCACCUUUAAGAAAGCGUCAAAGCUUAACUAUUAUAACCCCUAAUUCCUAAAACAUCCACUAACCCCUAAUCCCUACUGAACCCCUUUAUAUUAAUAUAAAAACGACUAUGCUAGAACUAGUAACAAGAACUUGCCAUUCUCCACAAUGUAAGUAUAGACCAAAACGGACACUCCAUUGGUAAUCAACGUAAAUGCAAAACCAUAACAACACAAAACCAGAAAACCUUACGGCCACCACACGUUACCCUAACACUAGAACAUUAUAGGAAAGAUUAAAAGAAAGAGAAGGAACUCGGCAAAUUUUAGCCCCGCCUGUUUACCAAAAACAUCGCCUCCUG
rnacentral:rRNA from 1 species